rnacentral:rRNA from 1 species
GACGAACGCUGGCGGCGUGCCUAAUACAUGCAAGUAGAACGCUGAAGGAGGAGCUUGCUUCUCUGGAUGAGUUGCGAACGGGUGAGUAACGCGUAGGUAACCUGCCUGGUAGCGGGGGAUAACUAUUGGAAACGAUAGCUAAUACCGCAUAAGAGUAGAUGUUGCAUGACAUUUGCUUAAAAGGUGCAAUUGCAUCACUACCAGAUGGACCUGCGUUGUAUUAGCUAGUUGGUGAGGUAACGGCUCACCAAGGCGACGAUACAUAGCCGACCUGAGAGGGUGAUCGGCCACACUGGGACUGAGACACGGCCCAGACGCCUACGGGAGGCAGCAGUAGGGAAUCUUCGGCAAUGGACGGAAGUCUGACCGAGCAACGCCGCGUGAGUGAAGAAGGUUUUCGGAUCGUAAAGCUCUGUUGUAAGAGAAGAACGAGUGUGAGAGUGGAAAGUUCACACUGUGACGGUAUCUGACCAGAAAGGGACGGCUAACUACGUG